AAGGCAUUUGCCAAGAGUGUUUUUCAUUAAUCAAGAACGAAAGUCAGAGGUUCGAAGGCGAUUAGAUACCGCCCUAGUUCUGACCGUAAACGAUGCCAACUAUCAAUCCGCCAGUGGCUUCGAGUCAUUGGCGGGCGGAUCGACGGAAACGAAAGUGUUUCGGUUCCGGGGGAAGUAUGGUUGCAAAGCUGAAACUUAAAGGAAUUGACGGAAGGGCACCCCCAGGAGUGGAGCUUGCGGCUUAAUUUGACUCAACACGGGAAACCUCACCCGGCCAGUACAUCAUAAGGAUUGACAGAUUGAAAGCUCUUUCAUGAUUUGAUGAAUGGUGGUGCAUGGCCGUUCUUAGUUCGUGGCGUGAGUCGUCUGCUUAAUUGCGAUAACGAGCGAGACUCCGUCUGCUAAAUACCUGCUGGAUUAAUUGUCCACGCGGGUUCUUAGCUGGAUUCGAGACUCCAAGUCUCAAGAAAUGGAGCAAUAACAGGUCUGUGAUGCCCUUAGAUGUUCGGGGCCGCACGCGUGCUACAAUGAUGGUAACAGCGUGAUUGUCCUUGCCCGAGAGGGCUUGGCAAACAGUUGAGAUAUUAUUACGGCUGGAAUUGAGUGUUGAAAUUUUCGCUCAUGAACGAGGAAUUCCAAGUAAAUGCGAGUCAUCAACUUGCAUUGAUUACGUCCCUGCCCUUUGUACACACCGCCCGUCGCUACCCGGGACUAUUCGUUUCGAGAAAUUCACGGA
rnacentral:rRNA from 1 species